CCUACGGGAGGCAGCAGUGGGGAAUAUUGCACAAUGGGGGAAACCCUGAUGCAGCGACGCCGCGUGAGUGAGGAAGUAUUUCGGUAUGUAAAGCUCUAUCAGCAGGGAAGAAAACGACGGUACCUGACUAAGAAGCCCCGGCUAACUACGUGCCAGCAGCCGCGGUAAUACGUAGGGGGCAAGCGUUAUCCGGAUUUACUGGGUGUAAAGGGAGCGUAGUCGGCUAUGUAAGUCAGAAGUGAAAACCUUAGGCUCAACCUGGGGACUGCAUUUGAAACUAAGUAGCUAGAGUGCAGGAGAGGUAAGCGGAAUUCCUAGUGUAGCGGUGAAAUGCGUAGAUAUUAGGAAGAACACCAGUGGCGAAGGCGGCUUACUGGACUGAAACUGACGUUGAGGCUCGAAAGCGUGGGGAGCGAACAGGAUUAGAUACCCCUGUAGUC
rnacentral:rRNA from 1 species